rnacentral:rRNA from 1 species
AGAGUUUGAUCAUGGCUCAGAUUGAACGCUGGCGGCAGGCCUAACACAUGCAAGUCGAGCGGUAGCACAGAGAGCUUGCUCUCGGGUGACGAGCGGCGGACGGGUGAGUAAUGUCUGGGAAACUGCCUGAUGGAGGGGGAUAACUACUGGAAACGGUAGCUAAUACCGCAUAACGUCGCAAGACCAAAGUGGGGGACCUUCGGGCCUCAUGCCAUCAGAUGUGCCCAGAUGGGAUUAGCUAGUAGGUGGGGUAACGGCUCACCUAGGCGACGAUCCCUAGCUGGUCUGAGAGGAUGACCAGCCACACUGGAACUGAGACACGGUCCAGACUCCUACGGGAGGCAGCAGUGGGGAAUAUUGCACAAUGGGCGCAAGCCUGAUGCAGCCAUGCCGCGUGUGUGAAGAAGGCCUUCGGGUUGUAAAGCACUUUCAGCGGGGAGGAAGGCGAUAAGGUUAAUAACCUUGUCGAUUGACGUUACCCGCAGAAGAAGCACCGGCUAACUCCGUGCCAGCAGCCGCGGUAAUACGGAGGGUGCAAGCGUUAAUCGGAAUUACUGGGCGUAAAGCGCACGCAGGCGGUCUGUCAAGUCGGAUGUGAAAUCCCCGGGCUCAACCUGGGAACUGCAUUCGAAACUGGCAGGCUAGAGUCUUGUAGAGGGGGGUAGAAUUCCAGGUGUAGCGGUGAAAUGCGUAGAGAUCUGGAGGAAUACCGGUGGCGAAGGCGGCCCCCUGGACAAAGACUGACGCUCAGGUGCGAAAGCGUGGGGAGCAAACAGGAUUAGAUACCCUGGUAGUCCACGCCGUAAACGAUGUCGAUUUGGAGGUUGUGCCCUUGAGGCGUGGCUUCCGGAGCUAACGCGUUAAAUCGACCGCCUGGGGAGUACGGCCGCAAGGUUAAAACUCAAAUGAAUUGACGGGGGCCCGCACAAGCGGUGGAGCAUGUGGUUUAAUUCGAUGCAACGCGAAGAACCUUA